rnacentral:misc_RNA from 1 species
GAAUAUAUUGUUUUCCAGCCUCUGGACCUUAAGCAAGUUAGCAGAAUUGUUGAGCUCCAGAUGAGAAGGGUGAAAGAUAGACUCAAACAGAAGAAAAUUGAUCUUCACUACACACAGGAAGCUAUCAGUCUGUUGGCGAAUAUGGGCUUCGACCCCAACUAUGGAGCUCGGCCUGUUAAACGAGUUAUUCAGCAGAUGGUUGAGAACAAAGUAGCAAUGGGAGUUCUUAGAGGAGAUUAUGUGGAAGAAGACAUGAUUAUCGUUGAUGCUGAUGCUUCACCUCAGGCUAAGGACCUUCCUCCCCAGAAGAGACUCAACAUAAGGAAAAUUGAGAAUGGUUCUAACAUGGAUGCCAUGGUUGCCAACGAUUGAAAGUGCAACCUAGAAGAUGCUAGCAUGGUUUUCCUUUUGCUCUUGCCUAGUACGAGUGAGAAAUGGCCAUCUUCCACCUUCUGAGCAGCAACACAAACUUGGGAUUGGGUGUUUUCACGUCUUACAGAACUUGAGAUGAUUCCACUCCCAAUGGGCAAUAAUGUGUGCACCCAAAGACUUUAUAGGAACUGUUUCGAAAAUGUAUACAUAUACAAUGGGUUAAGUUUUUUU